AUUGAACGCUGGCGGCAGGCCUAACACAUGCAAGUCGAACGAGUGGCGGACGUGUGAGUAAUGUCUGGGAAUCUGCCUGAUGGAGGGGGAUAACUACUGGAAACGGUAGCUAAUACCGUAUACCAUCAGAUGUGCCCAGAUGGGUUUAGCUUGUUGGUGGGGUAACGGCUCACCAAGGCGACGAUCCCUAGCUGGUCUGAGAGGAUGACCAGCCACACUGGAACUGAGAAACGGUCCAGAAUCCUACGGGAGGGAGCAAUGGGGAAUAUUGGACAAUGGGCGCAAGCCUGAUGCAGCCAUGCCGAGUGGAUGAAAAAGGCCUUCGGGUUGUAAAAUACUUUCAGCUGGGAGGCGUUACCCGCAGAAGAAGCACCGGCUAACUCCGUGCCAGCAGCCGCGGUAAUUC
rnacentral:rRNA from 1 species